AGAGUUUGAUCCUGGCUCAGGAUGAACGCUAGCGGCAGGCUUAAUACAUGCAAGUCGAGGGGCAGCAUGAGUGUAGCAAUACAUUCGAUGGCGACCGGCAAACGGGUGCGGAACACGUACAGAACCUUCCUUCGAGCGGGGAAUAGCCCAGAGAAAUUUGGAUUAAUACCCCAUAGUAUUACGGAGUGGCAUCACUUUGUAAUUAAAGAUUUAUCACUUGAAGAUGGCUGUGCGGCUGAUUAGGUAGUUGGCGGGGUAACGGCCCACCAAGCCUACGAUCAGUAACUGGUGUGAGAGCACGACCAGUCACACGGGCACUGAGACACGGGCCCGACUCCUACGGGAGGCAGCAGUAAGGAAUAUUGGUCAAUGGACGAAAGUCUGAACCAGCCAUGCCGCGUGGAGGAUGAAGGUCCUCUGGAUUGUAAACUUCUUUUAUAUGGGACGAAAAAAGGCUUUUCUAAGUCGUCUGACGGUACCAUAUGAAUAAGCACCGGCUAACUCCGUGCCAGCAGCCGCGGUAAUACGGAGGGUGCAAGCGUUAUCCGGAUUCACUGGGUUUAAAGGGUGCGUAGGUGGGUUGGUAAGUCAGUGGUGAAAUCCCCAAGCUUAACUUGGGAACUGCCAUUGAUACUAUCAGUCUUGAAUACCGUGGAGGUCAGCGGAAUAUGUCAUGUAGCGGUGAAAUGCUUAGAUAUGACAUAGAACACCAAUUGCGAAGGCAGCUGGCUACACGAAUAUUGACACUGAGGCACGAAAGCGUGGGGAUCAAACAGGAUUAGAUACCCUGGUAGUCCACG
rnacentral:rRNA from 1 species